rnacentral:rRNA from 1 species
CCUACGGGAGGCAGCAGUGAGGAAUAUUGGGCAAUGGAGGCAACUCUGAACCAGCAACGCCGCGUGAAGGAUGAAGGCCCUAUGGUUGUAAAACUAUGUUGUUAAGGAAGAAAAGCAUGACGGUACUUUCCAAGAAAGCACCGGCUAACUAUGUGCCAGCAGCCGCGGUAAGACAUCGGGCGCAAGCGAUGUUCGGAAUUACUUGGGGUAAAGGGUGCGUAGGUGGGAGAUUAAGUUAAGAGUGAAAGCGUUGGGGUCAACCCAAGAAAUGUUCUUAAUACUGGUUUUCUAGAGUGUGGGAGAAGUAAGUGGAAUGCCUAGUGUAGCGGUAGAAUGCGUAGAGAUUAGGCGGAACGUC